rnacentral:rRNA from 1 species
UCUAAGGCCGAUGGCGACCGGCGCACGGGUGAGUAACACGUAUCCAACCUGCCUUUACUCGGGGAUAGCCUUUCGAAAGAAAGAUUAAUACCCGAUAGCAUAAUGAUUCCGCAUGGUCUCAUUAUUAAAGGAUUCCGGUAAAGGAUGGGGAUGCGUUCCAUUAGGUUGUUGGUGGGGUAACGGCCCACCAAGCCUUCGAUGGAUAGGGGUUCUGAGAGGAAGGUCCCCCACAUUGGAACUGAGACACGGUCCAA